GGGCCUAUAGUAAAGCGGUAUUACGCGUCCAUGGCAUGGACGAGUCCGGGGUUCGACUCCCCGUAGGUCCACAA
rnacentral:tRNA from 1 species